rnacentral:rRNA from 1 species
AUCAUGAGUUCACAUGUCCGCAUGAUUAAAGGUAUUUUCCGGUAGACGAUGGGGGUGCGUUCCAUUAGAUAGUAGGCGGGGUAACGGCCCACCUAGUCAACGAUGGAUAGGGGUUCUGAGAGGAAGGUCCCCCACAUUGGAACUGAGACACGGUCCAAACUCCUACGGGAGGCAGCAGUGAGGAAUAUUGGUCAAUGGGCGAUGGCCUGAACCAGCCAAGUAGCGUGAAGGAUGACUGCCCUAUGGGUUGUAAACUUCUUUUAUAAAGGAAUAAAGUCAGGUAUGCAUACCCGUUUGCAUGUACUUUAUGAAUAAGGAUCGGCUAACUCCGUGCCAGCAGCCGCGGUAAUACGGAGGAUCCGAGCGUUAUCCGGAUUUAUUGGGUUUAAAGGGAGCGUAGAUGGAUGUUUAAGUCAGUUGUGAAAGUUUGCGGCUCAACCGUAAAAUUGCAGUUGAUACUGGAUGUCUUGAGUGCAGUUGAGGCAGGCGGAAUUCGUGGUGUAGCGGUGAAAUGCUUAGAUAUCACGAAGAACUCCGAUUG